rnacentral:rRNA from 1 species
AUUGAACGCUGGCGGCAUGCCUAACACAUGCAAGUCGAACGAGUGGCGGACGGGUGAGUAAUGUAUGGGAACCUGCCUAAUAGCGGGGGAUAACUACUGGAAACAGUAGCUAAUACCGCAUACCAUCGGAUGUGCCCAGAUGGGAUUAGCUAGUUGGUGGGGUAAAGGCUCACCUAGGCAACGAUCCGUAGCUGGUCUGAGAGGAUGACCAGCCACACUGGAACUGAGACACGGCCCAGACUCCUACGGGAGGCAGCAGUGGGGAAUAUUGGACAAUGGGGGAAAGCCUGAUGCAGCCAUGCCGCGUGUAUGAAGAAGGCCUUCGGGUUGUAAAGUACUUUUAGCGGGGAGGCGGUACCUGCAGAAGAAGCACCGGCUAACUACGUGCCAGCAGCCGCGGUAAUAC